UCUUAUUUCAGCCCCUUAGCACAAAAACAAGUAAACUACGAGACAUCUGUAAACAUCAGAAGUCAAACAGUCCAGUGUCAAGAGCUAUGUGACAAACUGAAAUGAAAGAGAUUGAACUUUGGCUUGGAAAUGAGAAUCGCAAAAUGAGCAGCAUUUGGUAAGCAGCCCCAAGGAAUAAAUGAGGCAGCGUCAGACCUGAUCGCGAACCCCACUAGGCAGAGGAGCUUCCUGAAUUGUCCUUCUGGAAGCUCACGAUGAACCUGUACAGGAACAAAGAAACCUAAAUAAGCACUUGGAUCUUCAGCAGCGCUCCGAUCUUCCCCGGCCAGCGUGUUCCCACCUCGUGCAUCGCUGCGGCCACGCCACGGCCACGGAGGGCAUCUCAGUGGUGGACUGAAGCAGUGGUACAGAGCCAUCUUGGACCCCACACACAGGUGGAACAGCCAGGAAUUUUGGAGCAAGAAG